AGAGUUUGAUCCUGGCUCAGGACGAACGCUGGCGGCGUGCCUAACACAUGCAAGUCGAACGGGGAGUUAGCAAUAACUCCUAGUGGCGAACGGGUGAGUAACGCGUAGACAACCUACCUUCUAGAUGGGGACAACACCGCGAAAGUGGUGCUAAUACCGAAUAAGCUCGGAGCUAUGCCUGUAGAACCGAGGAAAGGUGG
rnacentral:rRNA from 1 species